AACCUCUUUAGACCUUCUCCAGUUCUUUCCUGGGCUGAUGCCCUACAGCAGGUAUGGAAAUGUUCAGGAUUGUGCCUGUGCUUCCCAUCACUCUGUGUCAUUCCUCUUAGGAUCUUCCAGAUGCUGAAGCGCACCAAGGAUCGGUGUAUCCCAGUAGGAGUUAUCUUCAGCUGAUGAAGAGGAGACGUGGAGACAGCAACCACCUGCCCAUGGGAUCAUGGCCCCAUGUCCUUCCUUCUUCUGGGAUCUUCACUACAUCUUCAAUCCAUUUCUCCCACCACAAAGCCCCUUGGCCUGAAAGAUUGAUGGGGUGACCCCAGUUUGGGCUGGCAAGCAGAGGUAGUCAUGGGGGUCCUCAAUAUGGGAAGCCCUGGCCCUGAGAAGCUCCCAACCCAAUGCUCUGCCCCAAGACAAUGAGAGCUGCAAACAAAGACCCACACUGAAGCACAGCAGCAAUGUGAGGGGAAA